UGGUUCCCAGACCUGUUGCAAAAUUUAAAACAUACAUGAUUGAACUUAAUAGAUAGAGCUUGUGCAGAAUUUAAAAUGUUUUGUGAGAUCCAUGACAAGUUUGAAGCUCUCCCAUUCAGAAAGUCAGAUGCUCCUUUGUUGUCUGUCUCGAUCUCCACGUCUGUUAGUUGGUGUCGGAUCCCUGCCCUGAUUGCGCAGCUGAUUCCAUGACAUUCUGCUUCUUCUGGGGUCCCAGCAUUCCCUGAU
rnacentral:lncRNA from 1 species